CCCUUAGGCGUUCUGGGCCGCACGCGCGCUACACUGACGGAGCCAGCGAGCUUUUCCUUAACCGAGAGGUUUGGGUAAUCUUGUGAAACUCCGUCGUGCUGGGGAUAGAGCAUUGUAAUUAUUGCUCUUCAACGAGGAAUUCCUAGUAAGCGCAAGUCAUCAGCUUGCGUUGAUUACGUCCCUGCCCUUUGUACACACCGCCCGUCGCUAGUACCGAUUGAAUGGCUUAGUGAGGCUUCAGGAUUUGCUUAGAUCGAGGGGCAACUCUCUUUCAGAGCGGAGAAUCUAGUCAAACUUGGUCAUUUAGAGGAACUAAAAGUCGUAACA
rnacentral:rRNA from 1 species